AGAGUUUGAUCCUGGCUCAGAUUGAACGCUGGCGGCAUGCUUUACACAUGCAAGUCGAACGGUAACAGGUCUUCGGAUGCUGACGAGUGGCGAACGGGUGAGUAAUGCAUCGGAACGUGCCCAGCCGUGGGGGAUAACGCAGCGAAAGCUGUGCUAAUACCGCAUACGAUCUAUGGAUGAAAGCGGGGGAUCGCAAGACCUCGCGCGAUUGGAGCGGCCGAUGUCAGAUUAGCUAGUUGGUGGGGUAAAGGCCCACCAAGGCGACGAUCUGUAGCUGGUCUGAGAGGACGACCAGCCACACUGGGACUGAGACACGGCCCAGACUCCUACGGGAGGCAGCAGUGGGGAAUUUUGGACAAUGGGCGCAAGCCUGAUCCAGUAAUGCCGCGUGCAGGAAGAAGGCCUUCGGGUUGUAAACUGCUUUUGUACGGAACGAAAAGGUCUGGGUUAAUACCCUGGGCUCAUGACGGUACCGUAAGAAUA
rnacentral:rRNA from 1 species